rnacentral:rRNA from 1 species
GCGACCUCAGGUUAGGUGGGGCCACCCGCUGAGUUUAAGCAUA